rnacentral:rRNA from 1 species
UUACCAUGCAAGUCCAGCGGGGAAAAGUAGCUUGCUACUUAACUUAGCGGCGGACGGGUGAGUAAUACUUAGGAAUCUGCCUAUUAGUGGGGGACAACAUUUCGAAAGGAAUGCUAAUACCGCAUACGUCCUACGGGAGAAAGCAGGGGAUCACUUGUGACCUUGCGCUAAUAGAUGAGCCUAAGUCGGAUUAGCUAGUUGGUGGGGUAAAGGCCUACCAAGGCGACGAUCUGUAGCGGGUCUGAGAGGAUGAUCCGCCACACUGGGACUGAGACACGGCCCAGACUCCUACGGGAGGCAGCAGUGGGGAAUAUUGGACAAUGGGGGGAACCCUGAUCCAGCCAUGCCGCGUGUGUGAAGAAGGCCUUUUGGUUGUAAAGCACUUUAAGCGAGGAGGAGGCUACUCUAGUUAAUACCUAGGGAUAGUGGACGUUACUCGCAGAAUAAGCACCGGCUAACUCUGUGCCAGCAGCCGCGGUAAU